rnacentral:rRNA from 1 species
GAUGAACGCUAGCGGGAGGCCUAACACAUGCAAGCCGAGCGGUAUUGUUUCUUCGGAAAUGAGAGAGCGGCGUACGGGUGCGUAACACGUGUGCAACCUGCCUUUAUCUGGGGGAUAGCCUUUCGAAAGGAAGAUUAAUACUCCAUAACAUAUUGAACGGCAUCGUUUAAUAUUGAAAGCUCCGGCGGAUAGAGAUGGGCACGCGCAAGAUUAGCUAGUUGGUGAGGUAACGGCUCACCAAGGCGAUGAUCUUUAGGGGGGCUGAGAGGGUGAUCCCCCACACUGGUACUGAGACACGGACCAGACUCCUACGGGAGGCAGCAGUGAGGAAUAUUGGUCAAUGGGUGCAAGCCUGAACCAGCCAUCCCGCGUGAAGGACGACUGCCCUAUGGGUUGUAAACUUCUUUUGUAUAGGGAUAAACCUACCCUCGUGAGGGUAGCUGAAGGUACUAUACGAAUAAGCACCGGCUAACUCCGUGCCAGCAGCCGCCGUAACAC